AUUGAACGCUGGCGGCGUGCCUAAUACAUGCAAGUCGACGAAUAAGGCGCACGGGUGAGUAAUAUAUAUCUAAUCUGCCCCUUGCUGGAGGACUACAUUUAGAAAUGACUGCUAAUACUCCAUACGGGAUGAGACUAUAUCUUAUCAGCUAGUCGGUGGGGUAACGGCCUACCAAGUCUAUGACGCGUAACUGGUCUGAGAGGAUGAUCAGUCACAUUGGAACUGAGACACGGGCCAAACUCCUACGGGAGGCAGCAGUAGGGAAUAUUCGGCAAUGGACGAAAGUCUGACCGAGCAAUGCCGCGUGAGUGAAGAAGGUUUUCGGGUCGUAAAACUCUGUUGUUAGAGAAGCGGUAUCUAACCAGAAAGCAACGGCUAACUACGUGCCAGCCGCCGCGGUAAUUC
rnacentral:rRNA from 1 species